rnacentral:misc_RNA from 1 species
GAUGAAGAACGUAGCGAAAUGCGAUAAGUAAUGCGAAUUGCAGAAUUUCCGUGAGUCAUCGAAUCUUUGAACGCACAUUGCGCCCAUUAGUAUUCUAGUGGGCAUGCCUGUUCGAGCGUCAUUUCAACCCUUAAGCCUAGCUUAGUGUUGGGAAUCUGCUGUAUUGCAGUUCCUCAAAUACAACGGCGGAUCUGUAACAUCCUCUGAGCGUAGUAAAUUUUUAUCUCGCUUUUGUUAGGUGUUGCAGCUCUCAGCCGCUAAACCCCCCAAUUUUUGUGGUUGACCUCGGAUCAGGUAGGAAUACCCGCUGAACUUAAGCAUAUCAAUAAGCGGAGGAA